UUAUCAUUCAAGUGUUGCAAAUAAAAAGUACACCCCCAAAAUGUUUAUUUUAGAUUACUUUAUACCGAAAAGAUAAACAUUUAUGUGCGUGAGAGUCUUUGGCAUUGUCUCCAAGUCCAUGUAAAUGUCAUUUUCCUACUUCGACAUUGGAUUUGUCUUCGUUGUUGGCUGUCACUGUUGCUGUUGCCUGUCGUCUUGUGCUGCACAUGUUGCAGAUUAAAAUUAAUUGGCAAUGUCAAAACGUGGAUACCAAUGUGAAAUUAUAAACCGCGACAGCACACUACCCAGAUACUCACCGCUAUGAAAUGGGGACGCAGCCGUCCGAUGGAGUAUUUUGCGAUAUCCGUAGUCAGUUGGCUAACAACAGCUCCGAAGGCAUAAAUGCCAACCUUUUUGUAGCACUCGAUCAGCCAGUCGGGCAGUUCGCGGUUCAUGAAGACAUAUCGCCGACCUAUCGAGUUGCCAUUAUCUGUCUUGGCCUUGUUCUGCGAUAUUAUUACCUCGACGGCGAGCAUCUGAAGAAUAAAAAGACAAUAAACUAGUAAAUAGUAAA